rnacentral:rRNA from 1 species
AGCGAAUGCUGGCGGCAGGCCUAACACAUGCAAGUCGAACGAACCUUUCGGGGUUAGUGGCGGACGGGUGAGUAACACGUGGGAACUGGCCUUUAGGUUCGGAAUAAUUCAGGGAAACUUGUGCUAAUACCGAAUGUGCCCUUCGGGGGAAAGAUUUAUCGCCUUUUUAGCGGCCCGUGUCUGAUUAGCUGGUUGGUUGAGGUAUUGCCUCACCAAGGCGACGAUCAGUACCUGGGCGGGGAGCGGGAUCAGCACCAUUGGGUUUGGGCCCAGGCCCAAACACGAGGGGGGGGCGGGGGAGGGGACUCUUGGGCAGGGGGCGAAAGCCUGACACGCCCCGUCCGGGUGAAUGAUGAUGGUCUUGGAAUUCUAAAAUUCUUUCACCGGGGACGUAAUGACGGUACCCGGAGAAGAAGCCCCGGCUAACUUCGUG